rnacentral:rRNA from 1 species
GGCUUAACACAUGCAAGUCGAGGGGCAGCACAGGUAGCAAUACCGGGUGGCGACCGGCGCACGGGUGAGUAACGCGUAUGCAACUUACCUAUCAGAGGGGGAUAACCCGGCGAAAGUCGGACUAAUACCGCAUGAAGCAGGGGCCCCGCAUGGGGAUAUUUGCUAAAGAUUCAUCGCUGAUAGAUAGGCAUGCGUUCCAUUAGGCAGUUGGCGGGGUAACGGCCCACCAAACCGACGAUGGAUAGGGGUUCUGAGAGGAAGGUCCCCCACAUUGGUACUGAGACACGGACCAAACUCCUACGGGAGGCAGCAGUGAGGAAUAUUGGUCAAUGGCCGAGAGGCUGAACCAGCCAAGUCGCGUGAGGGAUGAAGGUUCUAUGGAUCGUAAACCUCUUUUAUAAGGGAAUAAAGUGCGGGACGUGUCCCGUUUUGUAUGUACCUUAUGAAUAAGGAUCGGCUAACUCCGUGCCAGCAGCCGCGGUAAUACGGAGGAUCCGAGCGUUAUCCGGAUUUAUUGGGUUUAAAGGGUGCGUAGGCGGCCUUUUAAGUCAGCGGUGAAAGUCUGUGGCUCAACCAUAGAAUUGCCGUUGAAACUGGGGGGCUUGAGUAUGUUUGAGGCAGGCGGAAUGCGUGGUGUAGCGGUGAAAUGCAUAGAUAUCACGCAGAACCCCGAUUGCGAAGGCAGCCUGCCAAGCCAUUACUGACGCUGAUGCACGAAAGCGUGGGGAUCA